UACAGGGGGGGCAAGCGUUGUUCGGAAUUACUGGGCGUAAAGGGCCAGUAGGCGGCCAACUAAGUCACACGUGAAAUCCCCAGGCUUAACCUGGGGACUGCGUGUGAUACUGGAUGGCUUGAAUUCGGGAGAGGGAUGCAGAAUUCCAGGUGUAGCGGUGAAAUGCGUAGAUAUCUGGAGGAAUACCGGUGGCGAAGGCGGCAUCCUGGACCGACAUUGACGCUGAACGGCGAAAGCUAGGGGAGCAAACGGG
rnacentral:rRNA from 1 species